rnacentral:rRNA from 1 species
UACGUAGGGGCUAGCGUUGUCCGGAAUCAUUGGGCGUAAAGAGCGUGUAGGCGGCUAGAUAGGUCCGUUGUGAAAACUCGAGGCUCAACCUCGAGACGUCGAUGGAAACCAUCUGGCUAGAGUCCGGAAGAGGAGAGUGGAAUUCCUGGUGUAGCGGUGAAAUGCGCAGAUAUCAGGAAGAACACCCGUGGCGAAGGCGGCUCUCUGGUACGUGACUGACGCUGAGACGCGAAAGCGUGGGGGAGCAAAACAGG